AAGGUAUUGAUAUCAUGCAGGUAAAAGAAAGCAGAAGACAUUAACAGUAGUUGUUAUCGUUGUUCCGAUUGUUGUUUCACUGGUGCUUUUAGCUUUGGGCUGCUGCUGUUUUCUACAUAGAAAAGAAGCAAAGAAUCAUCAUGAUAUUCUCAAAGAAAGCUCAGUUGGGAAUGACAGCACCACUUUGGAGUCAUUGCGAUUUGAGUUGGCCAAAAUUGAAGCUGCAACAAAUAGAUUUGCUAAAGAAAAUAUGAUAGGCAAAGGCGGAUUUGGAGAGGUCUAUAGGGGUAUUCUUUCGGAUGGACAAGAAAUAGCUGUGAAGAGGCUUACAGGAAGCUCCCGGCAAGGUGCGGUAGAGUUUAAAAAUGAGGUUCAAGUUAUAGCUAAGCUUCAACACAGAAAUCUAGUGAGGUUACUGGGAUUUUGCUUAGAAGAUGACGAAAAAAUGCUCAUUUACGAAUACGUGCCAAACAAGAGCUUAGAUUACUUUUU